rnacentral:rRNA from 1 species
UACAGAGACCUCGAGCGUUAUCCGGAAUCAUUGGGCGUAAAGCGUACCGAUAGGUGGUCUUGAAAGUCAGGUGUGAAAUGACGAAGCUUAACUUCGUCACUGUCACUUGAAACUUCAGGACUAGAGGGGCAAAGAGGAAGCUGGAACAAACGGUGUAGUAGUGAAAUGCGUUGAUAUCGUUUGGAACACCAAUAGCGUAGGCAGGCUUCUGGGUGCCACCUGACCACUGCUAGGACGAAAGCGUGGGGAGCGAAUGGG